rnacentral:tRNA from 1 species
GCCUCAGUGAUGUGGUCAAGAUGCUCGUCUGGUAAUCAGGAGAGCGUGGGUUCAAUCCCACCCGAGGCC